AUGUCGGCUCGUCACAUCCUGGGGCUGGAGAAGGUCCCAAGGGUUGGGCUGUUCGCCCAUUAAAGUGGCACGCGAGCUGGGUUCAGAACGUCGUGAGACAGUUCGGUCCCUAUCUGUUGUGGGCGUUGGAAAUUUGAGAGGAUCUGACUCUAGUACGAGAGGACCGGGUUGGACGAACCUCUAGUGCAUCUGUUGUGGCGCCAGCUGCAUUGCAGAGUAGCUACGUUCGGAAGGGAUAAGUGCUGAAAGCAUCUAAGCACGAAGCCUACCUCAAGAUGAGAUUUCCUUUAAGGGUCGUUGGAGACUACGACGUUGAUAGGUUGCAGGUGUAAAGGCGGUGACGUCAAAGCCGAGCAAUACUAAUUACCCUAAAACUUCUGA
rnacentral:rRNA from 1 species